rnacentral:rRNA from 1 species
CCACCGGCAGCUCGAGUGGUAGCUGUUUUUAUUGGGCCUAAAGCGUUCGUAGCCGGUUUGAUAAGUCUUUGGUGAAAGCUUGUAGCUUAACUAUAAGAAUUGCUGGAGAUACUAUCAGACUUGAAGUCGGGAGAGGUUAGAGGUACUACCGGGGUAGGGGUGAAAUCCUCUAAUCCUGGGAGGACCACCUGUGGCGAAGGCGUCUAACUGGAACGAUCUUGACGGUGAGUAACGAAAGCCAGGGGCGCGAACCGGAUUAGAUACCCGGGUAGUCCUGGCCGUAAACGAUGUGGACUUGGUGUUGGAAUGGCUUUGAGUUGUUCCGGUGCCGAAGGGAAGCUGUUAAGUCCACCGCCUGGGAAGUACGGUCGCAAGACUGAAACUUAAAUGAAUUGGCGGGG